GCACAGAAGCUUCAGCGUGUGGAACCAGGCAGCCUGUGGAUGUGGCAUCAGAGUUUACUAUCAUUGAUCAGGUCCAUGACUCUGAAGAUACAGAAACCGUGUCUUUGGUUCCAUCCACGAAAGAUGAGACUGCCAUUCUUCCUGAAGAUGAAAAACAUCUGGUUUUCCUUGGAAAGAUAAGCUCCCAUAUGACCCUGUCCAAGGAAACGGUGUGCUCCAAGAGAAUCCAGCAGAAGGAGCGUAGGCAUCAGAGGACUGCCUAUUGACAGAAAAUAUGCCGGGAGACCUUCAGGUUUCUGCAUGUAAUAUCUCAAAACAAGCUCACCAACCUUAUCAAAUUUUAUAAACAAUAUGGAUUUGCCCCAAGGAUGAAAAGGUCUGGUGGGCAUGUUUUGAGCAGGAGGCUGCUGACUGAAGCAGUUCAUGGUAAAUUUUGCUGAUGUCCACGCCAUGCCAACCCCUGGGCGCAUCCCCGGUUUCAAAAGGUCUGACAUCCAGGUGCUUCCCACAACAGGGACCAUGACAUCAGUGUGGCGGAAAUACAAGGCUCAGAUGUGCUAAUUAAAUAACACUAGAUUGAUUACAUUGUACAUAAUUGUUUAAAAUAGUCAUAUUAAAUACUCUUCUAUAUUAUUAUUCCCACUCCUUUUAAAUCAUCAAAUUCAAGGACUUUUCAAGGACUUUCCAGGCCCAAUUCCCUCUAAUUCAAGGACCCAACAAGGCAUAGUUUGAGACACGGAUCAAGGUUAAUUACCGUUACAAAACUGAGAAUUUUUACAAUGAGAACUAGCAGGCUUUAUAGAACAACUAUUAAAAAGAGAGAGAGGCUUGGAUGUGUGAACACUUCUCAAUUGUGCCGUGUUACUGUGAUGGCAGGCUAUGUGGCCUAUUGACGAACGUUAAGUAACAAAAAUUAUAAAAAGAACUUCAAUUUCUAUUCUUGCACAAAAUAUAUAAAUUCAAGCACUUUCAAUGACCCAUGUCUAUUUUCAAAAACUUUCAAGGCCUUGAUUAUUUUUUUUGCAAGGAUUUCAAGGACCCAUGGGAACCCUGUAUUAUAGUAAAUAACACUAUAUCAGAUUAUAUUGUACAUAAUUGUUUUUAAUGAUUAUCAAAUUAUUUAUUCAUUUCUUGCACUGUAACUUUUAUUACCUGUCUUAUUCUAUUUUAGCUUGUUUUUAUUUUCUAUAAUCUGGGCUCUUUAAUGAUAAUUUUUUCUAAUUGUAUUUAAGUCCUUUUAUGUGUUUCUGUGCACUUUGUCACAAUGCUUUGAAUGUUUUAUGUAAAGCACUUUGAAUUGACUUGAUUGUUUAUAAAUGUAUUUCAAUUAAUUUGGAAAAUGGCAGAAUUUUGAUUGCUGUCUUUAAUGCCCUUUUUCUCAAUAACAAGGUUUGGUGACAGUCGACAUUUGGAAGACUGUAUCUCGUAGAAUAUCUGGAGUAGAAAAAUAAUUUUGGUAUUGCCAUAAAGCUGAGACUUUCCUCUUUACAGCCAUGCAGAAAACUCAAAAUAUGUUUCUGGGUUAAAGUGACUCAAAGUGAUGGCGCAGGUCACAUAUAGACUGGAUGAGCAAAUUCCCAUGCUCCCCCAAGAAGCCCUGUGAGGGUAAAGAGCUGGUCCUCUGUCCCACGGCCAGGACGGAAUCCACAUUGUUCCUCCUGUAUCCGAGGUUCGACAAUCGGCCGGAGCCUCCUUUCCAGCACCCUAGAGUUAGCUUUCCCCGGAAGGCUGAGAAGUGUGAUACCCCGAAGUGUGAUAAUUGGAGCACACCCUCCGGUCCCCCUUUUUUAAAAUGGGAACCACCACACCGGUCUGCCUCUCCACAGGCCACUGUUCCAGAUUUCCACGCAACAUUGAAAAGGCGUGUCAGCCAAGACAGCCCAACAAUGUCCAGAGCCUUUAGCAUCUCAGGGCGAAUCUCGUCCACACCUGGAGCCUUGCCACUGAGGAGCUUUCUAAAGCUUUCUCUAAAGCCUCCACGAACACACCAGAAACUACACCCACACCCAAAACCUGAAACUACUGCUGGUAAAUAACUCUCUGAACCAUUAGAUUGGUUUUCAUUGUCCAUCCAAGGCUCUGUUGGGCAAAGAUUUGAUCUGCCAACUCCUUCUGUCUAAUGAACCAGAUGGUCCAUAUUGCCUUGGACAGUGGAAGAUUCCUACUCACAGAGUUUUGUAGCAUACAUUUUGUGAUUUUUUUUUUUAGUGAUCUCACAUCUGAAAAACGUGUUACAAGCAUUUAUUCCUAGCAAAAACUGACCUCGUGAAGUCAAGUGAAGCUCUCUGCCUGUAUCACGGGAAGAGUUACACAAUCUGACACUGGAGUUAACCAUUGUCAAAAAUAAUUUGGACAAUUAGUAUUCAAGUAAUCCUUAACAGCAGUUUGCAAUAUGAUAUACACAUGCACAAACGGCCACACUGUGUGCUGCUUCAGGGGGAAAAAAACUGACAUCUGACAAAAAAAAAAAAAGACAUCUAUUCUAGCAAUAUGAUAUACACACGCACAAACGGCUACACUGUGUGCUGCUUCAGGGGGAAAAAAAACUGACAUCUAUUCUAGCCCAAAGAUUAUACACAAAACCCGAGUUUAUUUAUUUUCAACACUUAAAACAAUCAAUUCAUCUGAGGGUGGCUUCACACUAGGGACCCGGGCCCAGAUCUAAGUACGCUUGAGCCCAAAGUCCGGUUCAUUUGAUCAGUGUGAACACAAACGUACCAUACUCAUACAAAGUGUAACAGUACUCGGGUACUGUGCCAAAGUCCACUUGAAGAGGUGGUCUCGGGCUGGAUUCAUGUGUACUCAAGUACGGUCCGUGGGAGAUCCUUGCCCUUUGUCUAUAUAUGUGAUUGUCAGUAGACUGUUAUUACCACGGUAGAAAAAAUGCUAGGCAAUGGGAGAUCAUUCUCUGAUAUAUUUAUGGAUGGCAUAGUUUUUAUCCCACUACACAUGGGAUUUGUGACAUUGGUUUUUAUGUGAAUUCUUGACCUAUGGGCAAAAGCUCAAGGAGAACACAUUGAACCAUUGAACUGCGACCACAAUAAUCUGCCCGUGGAUGUUUUUGUUGUUCCUAAUAUAUUCUCUCAUUGUGAUCCUGACAUAUCACUUUACCCAAUUGGGUUUACUGGAAUUGUGUUUAAAAAAUCUGUGAAAGUGUACAUCCUCGUCACUAUAGACUGUAUAAAAAAUGGACAGCACAGGUGUUGGAGAAAAGAGAAGCCAAAAUAUCUACAGCUGCCCCUGUUGACUGGUUGCAGUAUAGGUCUUAACCCCGCCUACUCCAUGUUUAAAGAUGGAACAUUGCGCAAACUUUAAGAUAAGAAAAGUUUCCAUCAUUAUGGUCAGUUCUUAUUAUGCCGAUUGACAUCUAAGUGUUCUGUUUUCUGAGAAUUUUAUUUUUAAUCAGUUAUUUGACGCAUAAAAGAGGAGAUGUACCGCCAAGAUUUGACAACACUGUGUUUUGUGUUCUCAGUGGUGUCUUCUUAAGGUUUACCCAAGGCUCAGUGCACAGGUCAGACAGGGCAAUAGGAUCUGUUGUAAGAUCCAAAAGAAUCAGGUGAAUGGAAUAGCCAAGUAGGAUUUAGGUUACAAACUGAUCCAAUUAUUUUUGUAAUAUACAGGACUCAUUGUUGUGCCUGGUUUUCAUAUAGUGUUCACUGAAGGUCUAAUCUGAACAAAACAUUACAGAAAUUGAAAGCACUCUAACCAGUUAUUUGCACGAGUAAGUUAAGGCUGUUACUCAAGGUGUAUCCACCACAAUUGGUUCAAGUCUUCAGGGCUCAUGCUUUGCAGCAAGCUACAACAUUUGAAUAUAAUCAUUUACUCCUCUCAAUGAUUUUACAUAUCAUUUUGUGCAUUGCUUACACUCUCUCCUAGCGGAAUUAAAAAAAGUAACUCUAAAGGGCAGAUGGAUUGCUACCUAUAAAAAAGUGUCUGGAAUUGUAACAGAUUAUAACCUAUUUCCACUUGUUUAACAGGAAGUGGAACUGCCAGUGUGUCCUAAACUAGUCGAGCAGCAUGAUUACCUGCACAAAAAUAAACCACACUGCCUUCAGGGAAGCAGCGGGUCCUGAGAUUCCAUCUCUGCAUCAGCAUGUAAAGCUAUAAUUGACCCCCAGAGGGUUAGGAUUAGCGUUUAGCUGCAUCCCCCAAACUAAACCAAAGAUCAAUUGGCAAUUUACUGUAAAGCCAAAGUGGCUGUUGCAUAGUGCUGGCUGCAAUAAAAACUCCUUACUCUAACCUCCCUACCCUGAGGCAGGUGAGUGAAUGUGACUGUUGGUUAUUUAAAUCCCUGGAAUGGAUUUGGAAACCUGGUUGGAACAGGUGAAGGGCUUAUACUUUCUACAGCUGCAGACACUGUCAGUCAGUUAAGUUUGCCGAUAAAAAAGCAAAAGCAACUGAAUGACAGGGAAACAAUUAAAGGACACAUCUGCACAACGACACGUGUUUAUGUUCUGCAGGGUUGGACUGUUUUAUAUCAAGACGAGUGACAACGUUAUACCUAUUCACACCUCCAUUAUCU